rnacentral:rRNA from 2 species
AUGCGUAGCCGACCUGAGAGGGUGAUCGGCCACACUGGGACUGAGACACGGCCCAGACUCCUACGGGAGGCAGCAGUAGGGAAUCUUCCGCAAUGGACGAAAGUCUGACGGAGCAACGCCGCGUGAGUGAAGAAGGUUUUCGGAUCGUAAAACUCUGUUGUUAGGGAAGAACAAGUGCCGUUCGAAUAGGGCGGCACCUUGACGGUACCUAACCAGAAAGCCACGGCUAACUACGUGCCAGCAGCCGCGGUAAUACGUAGGUGGCAAGCGUUGUCCGGAAUUAUUGGGCGUAAAGCGCGCGCAGGUGGUUUCUUAAGUCUGAUGUGAAAGCCCACGGCUCAACCGUGGAGGGUCAUUGGAAACUGGGGAACUUGAGUGCAGAAGAGGAAAGUGGAAUUCCAAGUGUAGCGGUGAAAUGCGUAGAUAUUUGGAGGAACACCAGUGG